rnacentral:rRNA from 1 species
GAAACUGCCUGAUGGAGGGGGAUAACUACUGGAAACGGUAGCUAAUACCGCAUAACGUCGCAAGACCAAAGUGGGGGACCUUCGGGCCUCAUGCCAUCAGAUGUGCCCAGAUGGGAUUAGCUAGUAGGUGGGGUAACGGCUCACCUAGGCGACGAUCCCUAGCUGGUCUGAGAGGAUGACCAGCCACACUGGAACUGAGACACGGUCCAGACUCCUACGGGAGGCAGCAGUGGGGAAUAUUGCACAAUGGGCGCAAGCCUGAUGCAGCCAUGCCGCGUGUGUGAAGAAGGCCUUCGGGUUGUAAAGCACUUUCAGCGGGGAGGAAGGCGGUAAGGUUAAUAACCUCAUCGAUUGACGUUACCCGCAGAAGAAGCACCGGCUAACUCCGUGCCAGCAGCCGCGG